GAAUCCCGUCUUUGACACGGACUGCCUGUACAUUAUGGUGUGCUCUCGAAGAGUCGAGUUGUUUGGGAAUGCAGCUCAAAAUGGGUGGUAAAUGCCAUCUAAAGCUAAAUAUUGGCGAGAGACCGAUAGCGAACAAGUACCGUGAGGGAAAGAUGAAAAGAACUUUGGAAAGAGAGUUAAACAGUACGUGAAAUUGCUGAAAGGGAAACGCUUGAAGUCAGUCGCGUUGGCUAGAAAUCAACCUUGCUUUUGCUUUGUGUACUUUCUGGUUGACGGGUCAGCAUCAAUUUUGACCACUGGAUAAAGUCUUUGGGAAUGUGGCAUCUUCGGAUGUGUUAUAGCCCAUUGUCGCAUACGGUGGUUGGGAUUGAGGAACUCAGCACGCCGCAAGGCCGGGUUUCGACCACGUUCGUGCUUAGGAUGCUGGCAUAAUGGCUUUAAUCGACCCGUCUUGAAACACGGACCAAGGAGUCUAACAUGCCUGCGAGUGUUUGGGUGGAAAAACCCAUGCGCGCAAUGAAAGUGAAAGUUGAGAUCCUCUUCAAAGGGGGAGCAUUGACGCCCGGACCAGACCUUUUGUGACGGAUCCGCGGUAGAGCAUGCAUGUUGGGACCCGAAAGAUGGUGAACUAUGCCUGAAUAGGGUGAAGCCAGAGGAAACUCUGGUGGAGGCUCGUAGCGAUUCUGACGCGCAAAUCGAUCGUCAAAUUUGGGUAUAGGGGCGAAAGACUAAUCGAACCAUCUAGUAGCUGGUUCCUGCC
rnacentral:rRNA from 1 species